GUGCUUGUAAGGGAAACAUUUUCUUCCUGCACAAAUCAGGCAAUCCAACUCAGUAAGUGGAGUUUUCACAGCAUUAAGUUCAACUUGGUACUUAACAAGCCUAACUACACUUAUUAGUGGCCCAGGACCUCCUCACAUCCUACCUCCUACAUCCUAUGCACUGCACUGGCAACUGCCAGAGGAAGUUAGUCAUUUCCACAUUAGACUGUCUCCCAUGCCAUGAGCCAGCCAGCCCAUUUCUGCACACAGGUAAGGUAUUGUUAAGUGAAUUAGAAUUUAUUUCUUCCCUUCUCAGCUGCCAAAACAGCUAAGCCUCUUGCAUUGCUUAGCAGGCUACUCUCUAGCACUUUUUUUUCUGACUUCCUGAUGCUUAAGAACCCAACCCUGAUAAUUUAGAGCCUGUCUCCUGCUGUCUGUGUGGUUUCUCUGCAUUUAGGACUGCUGUAGGCUGAGCUGUCCCCAGGAAGAUGCAGCACAGAGCCCUGACAUGUUUACGCUGCAGACUUUGAACUACACUUGAAGCAACAGUUGGCAGAGCAAUUCAGGUCCAUAUGAAAAGCAACCAGGCAGCAAAAGCAAAUCAGAUCAGAGCUAGGGAAUAAAGAGCCAGGCACCCAUCAGUGGAGCUGCUGCAGCAGACCAUCUCUCCACUGACAGGGGAUUCCCACUCAGCUCACUGUAGCACCAGCCGGCCCUGUUGCAUUAUCCCAACAGGGAAGCACCAGCUCCCAGGCAUGAGGAGCCAACCCACAGCACAGCCCUUUGCUCCCCAAACUGCCUACAGCAGCCUUGCCGCUCUUUAAAGAUGGGGAUCAGACUACUAGUACCUGUUCAUGGAAGAAGUCUGGUAUUCUGCAAAGUAGCAUGGCAAAGUCUUCAGGUUUUGAGCUUUCAGACUUGGAGGGCUAAAGGACUGCACUUGCUGAGCAGCUUUGUUUCCUCAAAGCUUCAGCAACUGGGUUUGUGUGAACUGCUCUGAGCUCUGGCAACCUCUGCAGGGCCUAAAAGGAGGCAGCUAAUGUUCCUGCAUAGGCAACAGAAACAGCUUCUUUCCCAGUUCAGCAGCUGCUGCACAGCAGUUCUUUGACCAGCUAUUAAGCACUGGCUUCCAGAAGGCAGGAGACUGCAUUGGACUUGAAAAUGAGACAGGUGCCAAAUCCCAGUCCAGGGCCAGUGCUUGGGGAACCAGACAAUGUGAUGUUCAGAACACAGAUCCACCAAUAUUUAUUUCCACAGCAAAAACAGUUAAGUUUGGGUUUUUUUUUUUCUCUUAGACUCUCUCCAGCUCUUUCCCAUUCUCCUGCUGCUCCCUCACUGUGGGGAACUAUCUAGCUUUAACUCUUCUCCUUCUUGUUUUGGUAAAUUAAUUUUAACACUGAUUAAGUUCUUUCAUCUGGCUCACAGUUCAUGUCCACAAGCAGUUAUGUUGGAGCAAUGCAGAGGCUAUGCCUUGCAACAGAGUGAAGGAGAAGCUGGGGUCCCGUUAUUUCUCAGGCAGCUAUUGCUAGUGCAGCCCCCUUACUCUAUCAAGCCAUAAGCAUAUUCUCACCGCUUCCAACAUUACUUACAAGCAGAUUUCCAUUCCCCCACUCCAAAACCCUUCCCCCAUAAUUUCAGAUCUCUUGCAUGGCUAGAGGUGGUUUUAGGCUGCAUUCCUACCUAAGGAGAGUUGGCGGACAGUUUAUUCUUCUCACAUGCAGACUAGAACCAUCACCUGGUCCAAGCUGCAAAAAUUCAAGGAAUCUGGGCAGGGCUUAAAGAAAGUGAGAAAGCAUUGCUUUGCUUUCCAACCCAGUAAAAGGUAUUCAGACGCCUGGAACAGAGCGCAAACCUCAAGCUCCUUUGCCUGCCACAGCCAGGUCCCCUCUGCAUUUGCUGCGGCUCCAAAUACCAUAUUGCUGAGUGACUGGUUUCACGGCUGGCAUUGAUCACUUUGUUGACAAGCUGCCAUUAAAGUGGGCAGUCCCACCCUGCACUUGCCCUUCACCUCGCCCACCCUGCCACCUCCUCCUUCUCUUAAUCUUAGGCUCAGCAGGAUCAACUCUCAUCUGGCUGAAAACUCACUUUUCCAUAGCGUGUGCAGGUACUGAUCACAGGUGCAUCCAACUGAGAAGCAGUGACAGUACACAGUCAGACUGGAUUGAAGAUUGUGAAACUGCAUCAGGAGUGAGUCUUGCUCCAAGUAAAUCAAUGAAGAGAGAACACUCAGCACUCACAAAUGCAAAAUUUAAAUAAAUUAGGUGCAAAACGUAAGAUUUUGGCAGGCCUUUAGAAUCAUCAGGGACUGCCAAUUUGAAUAUACCUUAUGUCACCCUCUGGCAAACUGUCUAGAAUACACUUUACAGACUGCAAUUACACAAUACAUUUAUUCACUCGUUUUGUAAGGCUGCAGAAGUACCAAAGUUUACUAGCCAAAAGGCAGAAAAGUGCUACAUAAACUACAUCAAGAACUCUGGAGUAUGCCAUCCCCAAUACACGUAUGUAAAAUAUUUUGCCCAUUCAUAUCUUCUUGGAAAGGCAAAGCAAGUAGCGAAUGGGGGGUAAAUUAAGCCCCAGUUAGUUUGAUAGAAACAGGCAUGACUAGUCUAUUCUCUUCUACUAAGAUUGGAAGGGUGGUUGUUGUUCUGGUGCACUGCAACUUCAUGACAAAUAAGCACUCUUACCAAACCUUGUUAAGGGUUCACAUGAGAAGAAGUCAUAGGAAAAUGAGACUUACCAAUCCACAAGGUCAGAGGGGAACAGAAACCCAAGCGAGUUUUGCCAAUGCCUCACUCUUUGCUAUAGCGUCAGGACAGUACUCACACCCAGAGGCACACUUAUCCAAAGGACACCUUACUGCAUACUGCAACCUGGCACUGAUGAAGAGCUUUGCUCUUUGCCUAGAGAGCUGUUCCAUUGGAUGGGCUGUGCAGGCCGAAUCUACACCUUCGAUUCCCACAGCCUAACUGUGCCCAGUGCAAACACUCCCCUACCUCAAGCCUCUCUGCUGCUGCCCUGCUCAGAAGCAGAGCAUGGUUUGCUCAGGGGCUGCUGGAGUCCACUGCCAGCGGGGGACUUCCAAAUAAUCUCUGAAGGAAAGCGGACACCACCAAAAUAGUCUCUACAUGAAAGAGAUUAAGAUUAUUAUUAAAAACCUACUAACAAAAAGUUUCAAAGGCUCUUUCCAGCACCGCAUCAUUUUGUUAUUGUAUCAGACCACAAAAGCCAGCAACCCACCUAAGCAGAACAGCAAUCUUCAACCCAAAACAUGCGAGAUCACUGAACACAAUGGCAGAGCAAGAUGGGAACACAGAUUUCCCUUCCCAGCUCCGAUUAACGAAGGCAGGGCAAAGAAAGGGAGAAGACGAAGAGGGAGAAUUUGGGUUAGGGAAACAUAGGCAGAAAAAGAGAUAUCAAGGAGUACCAUCGGAGGCUUUAAACUCAAAGCAAAAUUUAACAAAAAAUAGUAUGCUGGUGAUUGUAUUCUCUUUGGUUACGCCCACAUCAGAAACUCACUACCCAAUAUUGCUGUACUACACUAGCAGAGUUGGAAGGGUGUGGAGAAAGGGACAUCUAUACUUGCAAUUUUGUAGCAAUAUGCUGAAAGCAGACAUCUGAAGCUAAAGAUGACAGAAAUACAGAAGCACCACUCUAAAGCAGUCUAUUACUAAACCUCAACCUGAGCAGAUACUGGGAAGCACUCAAGCAGGGUGUGCUGAUAGUAGCUGCACCAGUACCUAAAACCACCAACAAGUCAAACACAAGGUGCUAGUGCAGAAGAACAUGAAAUUGAAAGUAAUUUCUUUGAUUGUAAGCAACUACCACAAACAGGGAAGCAACUUUUAUGUGGUCUUAAGAUAACACUUACAAGUUCAAAAAAAAAAAAAAAAGGGUCCAUUUAAAGUCAGUUAUCUCUUCAGUGCUUGUGGCCUUGCAGCAUCUGGGAACCAUGCUCACAGAUCCGAAUUUUCUGGUGCAGGGUGGUCUAUGAACACAGGGCAGAAACACUGUCCCUGUCCCCCAUUACCCUGCAGGCUACAAGCAUGGCAAGAGACUGCAGGAAGACACAGAUAGUUGCAAAGGCAGAGUGCAAGGCAACAGGCAGAUUCUGCUCAGGCCCUCAAGCAGAGAUCUUGGCACAUCACGGCGCCCACCACAUAGAUCUAUGGCCACUGGCACUCUAGGACUUCCUCCUCACCUUACUGACCACUCUGACCUCCAUGGCAACAAGUACAUUUUAAAUCUUUCAUGCAACUCAGUGACAACAGCAGGGGCAAUAAGCUGCCAGGGGCCAUGAUGCAGACUGCACAUCUUAUAGCACCUCUAUUGCCCAGCACCACGCAGGAAUGAAGCCUGG